GCAGUAAGGAAUAUUGGUCAAUGGAGGCAACUCUGAACCAGCCAUGCCGCGUGCAGGAAGACUGCCCUAUGGGUUGUAAACUGCUUUUAUCCGGGAAUAAACCUAAAUACGUGUAUUUAGCUGAAUGUACCGGAAGAAUAAGGAUCGGCUAACUCCGUGCCAGCAGCCGCGGUAAUACGGAGGAUCCAAGCGUUAUCCGGAUUUAUUGGGUUUAAAGGGUGCGUAGGCGGCCUGUUAAGUCAGGGGUGAAAGACGGUAGCUCAACUAUCGCAGUGCCCUUGAUACUGAUGGGCUUGAAUGGACUAGAGGUAGGCGGAAUGAGACAAGUAGCGGUGAAAUGCAUAGAUAUGUCUCAGAACACCGAUUGCGAAGGCAGCUUACUAUGGUUUAAUUGACGCUGAGGCACGAAAGCGUGGGGAUCAAACAGGAUUAGA
rnacentral:rRNA from 1 species